rnacentral:rRNA from 1 species
UACAGAGACCCCGAGCGUUAUCCGGAAUUACUGGGCGUAAAGCGCGAGCAGCCGGUUGUAUUAGUCUGGUGUUAAAUUCUGGGGCCCAACCCCAGAGCCGCAUCAGAAACGGUACGACUAGAGCGGGUAAGAGGUAGGCGGAACGUGCAGUGUAGGGGUGAAAUCCACUGAUAUUGCACGGAACACCAAAAGCGAAGGCAGCCUACUGGUGCUCUGCUGACGGUCAAUCGCGAAAGCGUGGGGAUCAAAAAGG